CAAAAGGAUCAACCGUUCAUUGGGACGGUAAACUCAUGGAGAAUAUCACAAGCAAGGAAAAACUGGAUCGGCUGUCGGUCAAAAUAACUAAUGCGGGCAAAGACCAGUUGCUAGGAGCUCGAGAGCUGGGUGACGGAGCUCUUAGAAAACUGGGACCAGAUCGACAAAGUGGAAUGUUGCUGUUUCGACACAACAAGUUCAAAUACAGGAAGCUUUCAAGGAGCAGCGGUGCGGCUGGAACAACUGUUGGGAAGAAGUUUACUGUACCUUCCAUGUCGCCAUCAUAUAGCGGAGGUGAUUCUACGCGCCGUGUUUGAGUUAAAGGUAUACGGCACAACAGGCAAAGGACGUUCCUAUGUUUAAAACAUUUCAACAAGAUUGGAACAACAUCGAUCAGGAGUGAUACAUACCUGGCAUAAAAGAUCGUUAUGUCAGAAAACAGCUCGCCGGCGAAAAUUUAGAAGGCUUGAAAACGUUCAUCAAAAAACAAUUGGCGAAACCAAUUCGCAGGUAUGACUACAGAGAAUUCCUGGAGGUUAGUCUGUUGUUUCUCGGUGAGCAGAUACCCAAUUCCGAAAGUAGAGCGUCAAUAUUCCACCGACCAGGGGCAGUCCACCACGCUAGGUUGAUGGCAAAAGACAUUUAUACGUUGAAAAUGUUUUUUUUGAGAACAAAUUGAGCUGUCCGAAGAUCUGAAGGUUGGCAUGGCACUCUGUAUUUUUAUCAUUCGACAUUACUUGGCCUAUUGGUUUCGGUCUCCUCGCGCCAUAGAAACGCCGAUGCUGGACCUCGAAUUUAACCAAAAAAUCGAUCUGACAAGGUCAGUAGAUGAAGCUGUGACAGAUGAGGUCGUACGAAAAAUGGUCAAUCACUUAUGGUAUCUAACUGAAGAAGCCUUAGGAUUUGCAAUUUUCGACAAAAAAGUGUCAAUCCUCCAAAAGCGAAAGAUGGUGAAACGACUUCAAGUUGACCCGGAAAGAGAACCACUGAAAAGGGUCAUAGUCGAUUUGCAAAAUUUCCAUCAAGUGGUACAGAGCAGUCUCAGCGAUUUCGUGAAUUGUCAUACGCUCAAAUUUUUCGAACGCUUCUCAAUCGACACCGAAUUUUUGAGUCAUGAUCCUGCUUCAUGGAUGGACAGAGAUGACUUUAAAUCGGCUAGAGAAAAGUUGAAGUUGGUCAAGGUUGUCAAGGACACGGCAGAAAGAUUACAACAAAAAAAUUUCAAGAA